rnacentral:lncRNA from 1 species
GGGGACCGAACCCAGGGCCUUGUGCUUGCUAGACAAGCGCUCUACCACUGAGCUAAAUCCCCAACCCCAUAACUGACUUUCUAAAGAAACCACAAGUUUCCACUUCAAUCAUCUCUCUGCUGCUCCCCCCAGAACAGGACUGGAAGUGGCGUGGCAGUUGGGCAACACGGGAGCGAUUUUCUGCUCGGACUUGAGAAGAAGACAAACAUGAUGGUG